rnacentral:rRNA from 1 species
UGCAGUCGAGCGAUGAAAUCCCGACCGGGAUGGAUUAGCGGCGGACGGGUGAGUAACACGUGGGUAACCUGCCUCAAAGAGGGGGAUAGCCUCCCGAAAGGGAGAUUAAUACCGCAUAACAUUAGUUUUUCGCAUGGAGAACUAAUUAAAGGAGUAAUCCGCUUUGAGAUGGAUCCGCGGCGCAUUAGCUAGUUGGUGAGGUAACGGCUCACCAAGGCGACGAUGCGUAGCCGACCUGAGAGGGUGAUCGGCCACAUUGGAACUGAGACACGGUCCAGACUCCUACGGGAGGCAGCAGUGGGGAAUAUUGCACAAUGGGCGAAAGCCUGAUGCAGCAACGCCGCGUGAGUGAUGAAGGCCUUCGGGUUGUAAAGCUCUGUCUUUUGGGACGAUAAUGACGGUACCAAAGGAGGAAGCCACGGCUAACUACGUGCCAGCAGCCGCGGUAAUACGUAGGUGGCAAGCGUUGUCCGGAUUUACUGGGCGUAAAGGAUGCGUAGGCGGACUUUUAAGUGAGAUGUGAAAUCCCUAAGCUUAACUUAGGUGCUGCAUUUCAAACUGGAAGUCUAGAGUGCGGGAGAGGAAAGUGGAAUUCCUAGUGUAGCGGUGAAAUGCGUAGAGAUUAGGAAGAACACCAGUGGCGAAGGCGACUUUCUGGACCGUAACUGACGCUGAGGCAUGAAAGCGUGGGUAGCAAACAGGAUUAGAUACCCUGGUAGUCCACGCCGUAAACGAUGAGUACUAGGUGUAGGAGGUAUCGACCCCUUCUGUGCCGCAGUUAACACAAUAAGUACUCCGCCUGGGAAGUACGAUCGCAAGAUUAAAACUCAAAGGAAUUGACGGGGGUCCGCACAAGCAGCGGAGCAUGUGGUUUAAUUCGAAGCAACGCGAAGAACCUUACCUAGACUUGACAUCAUUCUGCAUACUCAGUAAUGUGAGGAAGCCUCCUUUUCGGGGGUGGAAUGACAGGUGGUUGCAUGGUUGUCGUCAGCUCGUGUCGUGAGAUGGUAUGUUAAGUCCUGCAACGAGCGCAACCCUA